ACUCCUACGGGAGGCAGCAGUAGGGAAUCUUCCACAAUGGGCGCAAGCCUGAUGGAGCAACACCGCGUGAGUGAAGAAGGGUUUCGGCUCGUAAAGCUCUGUUGUUAAAGAAGAACACGUAUGAGAGUAACUGUUCAUACGUUGACGGUAUUUAACCAGAAAGUCACGGCUAACUACGUGCCAGCAGCCGCGGUAAUACGUAGGUGGCAAGCGUUAUCCGGAUUUAUUGGGCGUAAAGAGAGUGCAGGCGGUUUUCUAAGUCUGAUGUGAAAGCCUUCGGCUUAACCGGAGAAGUGCAUCGGAAACUGGGUAACUUGAGUGCAGAAGAGGGUAGUGGAACUCCAUGUGUAGCGGUGGAAUGCGUAGAUAUAUGGAAGAGCACCAGUGGCGAAGGCGGCUACCUGGUCUGCAACUGACGCUGAGACUCGAAAGCAUGGGUAGCGAACAGGAUUAGAUACCCUGGUAGGAUAGCG
rnacentral:rRNA from 1 species